rnacentral:rRNA from 1 species
AGUGAACGCUGGCGGUAGGCCUAACACAUGCAAGUCGAACGGCAGCACAGUAAGAGCUUGCUCUUACGGGUGGCGAGUGGCGGACGGGUGAGGAAUACAUCGGAAUCUACUUUUUCGUGGGGGAUAACGUAGGGAAACUUACGCUAAUACCGCAUACGACCUACGGGUGAAAGCAGGGGAUCUUCGGACCUUGCGCGAUUGAAUGAGCCGAUGUCGGAUUAGCUAGUUGGCGGGGUAAAGGCCCACCAAGGCGACGAUCCGUAGCUGGUCUGAGAGGAUGAUCAGCCACACUGGAACUGAGACACGGUCCAGACUCCUACGGGAGGCAGCAGUGGGGAAUAUUGGACAAUGGGCGCAAGCCUGAUCCAGCCAUACCGCGUGGGUGAAGAAGGCCUUCGGGUUGUAAAGCCCUUUGUUGGGAAAGAAAAGCAGCAGGUUAAUACCCCGCUGUUCUGACGGUACCCAAAGAACAAGCACCGGCUAACUUCGUG